rnacentral:rRNA from 1 species
GCUCAGAUUGAACGCUGGCGGCAGGCCUAACACAUGCAAGUCGAACGGUAACAGGAAGCAGCUUGCUGCUUYGCUGACGAGUGGCGGACGGGUGAGUAAUGUCUGGGAAACUGCCUGAUGGAGGGGGAUAACUACUGGAAACGGUGGCUAAUACCGCAUAACGUCGCAAGACCAAAGAGGGGGACCUUCGGGCCUCUUGCCAUCAGAUGUGCCCAGAUGGGAUUAGCUUGUUGGUGAGGUAACGGCUCACCAAGGCGACGAUCCCUAGCUGGUCUGAGAGGAUGACCAGCCACACUGGAACUGAGACACGGUCCAGACUCCUACGGGAGGCAGCAGUGGGGAAUAUUGCACAAUGGGCGCAAGCCUGAUGCAGCCAUGCCGCGUGUAUGAAGAAGGCCUUCGGGUUGUAAAGUACUUUCAGCGGGGAGGAAGGUGUUGYGGUUAAUAACCGCAGCAAUUGACGUUACCCGCAGAAGAAGCACCGGCUAA